UACGAAGGGGGCUAGCGUUGCUCGGAAUCACUGGGCGUAAAGGGUGCGUAGGCGGGUCUUUAAGUCAGGGGUGAAAUCCUGGAGCUCAACUCCAGAACUGCCUUUGAUACUGAGGAUCUUGAGUUCGGGAGAGGUGAGUGGAACUGCGAGUGUAGAGGUGAAAUUCGUAGAUAUUCGCAAGAACACCAGUGGCGAAGGCGGCGACCUGGGCCAAUAUUGACGCUGAGGUGCGAAAGCGGUGG
rnacentral:rRNA from 1 species